GUCCCUUCAGGGACAUCGGUUAAAAUUGGAACGACGCAGAGAAGAUUAGCAUGGCCCCUGUGCAAGGAUGACACGCACAAAUCGAGAAAUGAUCCAAUUUUUU
rfam:Triticum aestivum genome assembly, contig: Triticum_aestivum_CS42_TGACv1_scaffold_288270_4AL